AAAAAUUUAGUUAAUUCAUAACAUUAGUUUGUCAUACUAAAAUAAUCCUUAUAGAUAAUUUUUA
rnacentral:tRNA from 1 species